GGCUGAUGAGGAGCACCUGGAGCCUUGCAAAGAGAUCAAGGGAGAAGGCCCUGCAGCUAGGAGGAUGCAUUGCCUUUGGCUGUAUGGGCAUUGAGAGGCACAAGGGCUUCUCAAAGACUCAGGAUGGAUAGACAAAAAGACUGUUUCUCUGCUUGGGGACCUAUCAAAACCAAGGCAGGAGCAGCUACUGGUACCUGACUGUCACAGAACCAGAGAUGUGCCAAGGUUGAUGCUGAACCCUCAUCAACUGCCAAACUCCAAAAAAAGCAGGCAAGAUGCAGUUCAGCAGCACUUUCUGUAUUCAUUUCCUCUGACAUGAGGUGUCUAACUGAGCUGUCACCCUCAUGCCCUGCUACAAUCAGCAGCACAGACAGGACCUUCCACAGACCCGGUGUCUUGUGCAAGCUGAGUCACACUCCAAAGAUCCUAAUUUCUGAAACUGUUCCACAUGGGAAUGUAGCAGGAACCUCCAGCAACUCUGUCCCCAUGUCAGACCCUGAACAAGAAAAUCUGUAGCAGUGAGUGCAAUGAUCCAGGUUUACAGAUGCCUAACUUAACCAUAAAUCAUCUGCUUAAAUAUGUGCCCUGAUGAGCUGCACGUGCUGCUUUUUAAAUAAAAACCUACCUGUAACAAUUUUAAUAAGCACUAGCGGUUAAAUACGAGCAUUAUUAAGCAUGCUCUAAAAUGCCCAGAAGACAGCAGCAAGGUGACUUUUGGACAGUUCCAGCUUCAACCCCUUCUCAGUUUGCACUGCUGGGACAAGGGAAUCUGGUCCUGCCCUCUGAAUUUUUGUUUCCCACCUACCUCAGGCAAGUGCCAGGAAAAAGUGUGAAGUGCUUGUCUCCAGCUUGCAGACAUUUGAAGACAAGAGACAAGUUUAAGUGGAGUUUGGCAUCCCAUGGGGUGAACUUUUGCAGGCAGCCAGAGCAGUGAUAUUGAGCACUAUCAUUCUCUGCUGUACACAUCUUUGCCUGACCUUAUCCUGGACGCAUCCCCUUUGACUCACUUCUUUAAAGAGCCUAAUAGAUUUUCUUUAGCUUGAGGCAGAGCAAACCUCUGCUGGAUUGAAAUAAUGUAGAAGUAUUAGAAAAGAUUGGUGCUGGGAAUUUUUUUCCCCUCUUCCCCUUGCUGAACGAUAGGAAGAAAAUAUAUGACCCAAAUCUGCCAAGCACUUUCAAAGGGAAGGAACACAUGUGGAGCAGCAUUAGAAGGCCACCCAUCUCCCCUUAAUUAU